rnacentral:rRNA from 1 species
GACGAACGCUGGCGGCGUGCCUAAUACAUGCAAGUAGAACGCUGAAGGAGGAGCUUACUUCUCCGGAUGAGUUGCGAACGGGUGAGUAACGCGUAGGUAACCUGGCCGGUAGCGGGGGAUAACUAUUGGAAACGAUAGCUAAGAACGCAUAAGGGAUGAUGUUGCAUGACAUUUACUUAAAAGGUGCAAUUGCACAACUACCAGAUGGACCUGCGUUGUAUUAGCUAGUUGGGGGGGUAACGGCGUAACAAGGCGACGAUACAUAGCCGACCCGAGAGGGUGAUCGGCCACACUGGGACUGAGACACGGCCCAGACUCCUACGGGAGGCAGCAGUAGGGAAUCUUCGGCAAUGGACGGAAGUCUGACCGAGCAACGCCGCGUGAGUGAAGAAGGUUUUCGGAUCGUAAAGCUCUGUUGUAAGAGAAGAACGAGUGUGAGAGUGGAAAGUUCACACUGUGACGGUAUCUUACCAGAAAGGGACGGCUAACUACGUGCCAGCAGCCGCAGUAA